AUUGAACGCUGGCGGCAGGCCUAACACAUGCGAGUCGAACGGUAACAGGAAGCAGCUUGCUGCUUUGCUGACGAGUGGCGGACGGGUGAGUAAUGUCUGGGAAACUGCCCGAUGGAGGGGGAUAACUACUGGAAACGGUAGCUAAUACCGCAUAACGUCGCAAGACCAAAGAGGGGGACCUUAGGGCCUCUUGCCAUCGGAUGUGCCCAGAUGGGAUUAACUAGUAGGUGGGGUAACGGCUCACCUAGGCGACGAUCCCUAGCUGGUCUGAGAGGAUGACCAGCCACACUGGAACUGAGACACGGUCCAGACUCCUACGGGAGGCAGCAGUGGGGAAUAUUGCACAAUGGGCGCAAGCCUGAUGCAGCCAUGCCGCGUGUAUGAAGAAGGCCUUCGGGUUGUAAAGUACUUUCAGCGGGGAGGAAGGGAGUAAAGUUAAUACCUUUGCUCAUUGACGUUACCCGCAGAAGAAGCACCGGCUAACUCCGUG
rnacentral:rRNA from 1 species